ACUCAAAGGAAUAGACGGGGGCUCACACAAGCGGUGGAGCAUGUUGCUUAAUUCGAGGCAACGCGAAGAACCUGACCUGGGCUUGACAUGCACGGAUUAGUCCCGAGAAAUCGGGAUGACGCCUUCGGGUGGAACGUGCACAGGUGCUGCAUGGCUGUCGUCAGCUCGUGCUGUGAAGUGUCGGGUUAAGUCCCUUAACGAGCGCAACCCCUGUCGCUAGUUGCCAUCGGGUCAUGCCGGGUACUCUAGCGAGACUGCCGGUGUCAAACCGGAGGAAGGUGGGGAUGACGUCAAGUCCUCAUGGCCCUUACGUCCAGGGUUGCAAACGUGCUACAAUGGCGUGUACAGAGCGAUGCAAGCCCGCAAGGGGGAGCAAAUCGCAAAAAACCCGCCUCAGUUCGGAUUGCAGGCUGCAACCCGCCUGCAUGAAGCCGGAAUCGCUAGUAAUCGGAGAUCAGCUACGCUCCGGUGAAUACGUUCCUGAGCCUUGUACACACCGCCCGU
rnacentral:rRNA from 1 species